ACUAUAGAAACCGCACCCCACUUCUUCCCCAACUCUCCAUUAUUUUCGGAUCGAGGCCCAACCGCAGCCGGCCAAGCCGCUCCGCGUCGUUUCCAUCGCCGCCGCCGCGGUCGUCAUGGCCCCGGCCGACACUCUGAGGCGGGGGCGCGUCUCGGUCUCCGUCCGUGCGUCCGCCAUGGCGGUGGCGUUGGCACCGAGAAGGAAGACGGAUCCGGUGGGCGACGAGAAGGCCGUGGUGGGAGCUGUGGGAAGCUGCUGGCGUGCCUCCCUGAUGCCGGUGGCUGUGGGAGCCGGCGGCGCUCCCAUCGGUCACUGGAGGAGGCUCGGAGAAGGGCUCCCUUCCCAACUCCGGCCAUGAAUCGGCGACGGCACCGGUGGGAUCUUGUGAGGAGGGGGCUGUGGUUGGCGACGGCAUAAGGGAGCGGCGGGCGGACGACGGCGGCCUACAAGGGCUCGUCAGGCCAUCCCCCGCCCGGAUCCGGCGGUGGGCGUCGUCUCCCGCCCGGAUCCGGUGACGGCAGCGGUGGGCGGCUCGGGAGCAAAAUCCUAGCUCCCGCCGUCGCCACCCUCCUUCCCCCCUCUCCUCCACCUCCCCGUCGUCGAAGCGCGUCGCUGGGAGAGCCAGGCGGCGAGCCGGGAUGGCGGUGGCGGGGCCAUCUUCUCUGCCUCCCCGCGCCGGUGGAUGAGGAACAGGAGGGGAUGAGGAUCCAGCGACGACUCGGCGACGAGGAGAUUUGGGCGGUGGAUCCGGUGAUGUCGAGGUGCGUGGGCGCCGGAUCUGGCAGCGUCGGCGUCGUCCUUCGCUCUGCCUCUGCUUCGUCGACUACUCGGCCGGCAGUGGCGACGUCGUGGAGGAUGUCGUCUCCAGCUAGAGGGCGUCCACCCGUGAACCUGCGACGGGAUGGGUGGGGAUGGAUCAGCGCCUCGACUGCUCCUUGGCCGACGACAGCCGCUGCCCUGACGACGUCCUUAGCCCUCGUCGGCGGCCGCCGUUCCGCCUCCAUCACCCACUUCUGUCACCUUCGUCCGCGCGCGGCUGCCAGACGGCGAGGGAUCAAGCAUCAUGCAUGGUAGGCCUAGGGUGAUUUGUUCGCUAUGCAUUCAUUGUGACCUAUGUUCCUGGACUGCUCAUGUGUCUAUAUAGAAGAUUGCACUCAGCCCCUGGAUCGCAGUAGAAUCUUCCUUGACUAAGCUUAAUUGUCUAUUCUUUGGGUUGGGACAAGGCGCACCUAAGAACCUGACCUCCGCACAAAACUUGUAAGGUUGCAGGCGCAUGCAUCAUCCUCGGCUAUAAUUCGUCUUCCGCCGAUGCAACUAGAGCAGCGAUGACUAGUGUUUUAAUUGUACAAUCAAUAUGUAUCUGUGCCUGAGUCUCUGUAACAUGUGUGGGUUUUUUACUCGACAAAAAUGUUUGUUUUGGCUAUAUGGAUUUGUUGGUAAAUAGGAUACUCUAUGGUCAGGUAGUAUUUUAUCUUUAAUGAGAAGGUUCGAGCAAUUUGUGGCCAAAGCAAUAUUUUAAUUCUAACUUGAGAUUAAUUACUGAUA